CUCCCUCCCUCACCUCUUGUUUUUAAUUUUUUUUUCUCAGCUACUUCUUCUUCUUCCUCAGUCAUCUGUUUUUUUUUUUCUUGGGCUGCUGGGUCAUCUGGUUCAACCAUCUGCGAUUCUUCCGAGCUCCAUCGGAUACGGCUCCUCCCAUCUCCCUCUACACUUGCACGGCUGACUAUUAAGAUGGUCGAAUUGUUUAAAAAUAUAAGGGAGAUGAUGUUGCAUCACACAUUCUCUUUGUCUCUCGCCCUUUACUAGAUGACUGUGAUGGAGCCUAGACACCUCGUGUUGUGGCUCACUGUCUUCAGGUUCAUACGAAUGUGAUGGGGUUGCUAGUUAGGAUCUUUCUUUAGACCUCUUGGACUAUCCAUAAUCUCAUUUAUGUCAGCAACUCU